GCGCCUGUAGCUCAACGGAUAGAGCGGCGGACUCCGGAUCCGCAGGUCGCGCGUUCAAAUCGCGCCAGGCGCA
rnacentral:tRNA from 1 species